UCCUCUGGCUAGAAAAGGGAGGGCCAGGCCCCCCGGAAGUCUGGGACCACACCAGCCUGUGGACAGAUUCUGUACAGCAAACUAAGAACAAGCAAUUCUUUGGAAAGCAGAAGUCAGAGCCCUUCGUGGAGGGCUGCCACCGCCCCCUGCUGGUACUUUAUGGUAUCAGCCUGCAUUUCUAACCGGAGAAAUAAAUUCUUGGCACGGGCCUAGAACCGCAUGAUGCCCACUGGACGGAUAUAAGCAGAGACCAAGAAAAAUACUUUGAAUAUCUGAAGAGAUGCUACCUUGAUCUGCCCUGUGGCUGGAGAGUCUCCCCUAGGACCCUGGCCCUCAAAUUGGAGACUUCUGUUAGAGACUGGACCUGAUCUGCGGCUAAGAUACAGCCAGCCCUAGGGAGAGAGGCUCAGGAUGGUGUGGUGAUCCCAGCACUCAGGAGGCAGAGGCAGGUGGAUCUACAUGCGGGAGCCCAGCCUGAAAGAGAGCUUCAGAACAGUCAGGGCGGUUACAUGGAGAAACUCUGCCUUGAAAAAACAACAACAAAAUUAUAACGUUGUCUGAUGCACCUAUGGAUAUUUGCAAAGGAAAUAUUUAAGGCUUCUUGCUUUUUGAAAGCAGAUCUCUCACUUGUGCCCGGAGCUGACUGCUUUGGUUAGGCUGGCUGCCCAUCGAGCCCAGGCACCCACUCGUGUUUGCCGUGAUAGGAUGACAGAUCAAUACCACUAUGACGUGAUAGGACGACAGAUCAAUACCACUAUGACUUGCUUUUCCUUUUUUGAUGUAUGGGUGUUCUGCCUGUGUGUCUGUCUGUGUACCACUCAGGGGCCUGGUGCCCUCAGAGGUCAGAGGACAGUGUCAGAACCCCCUGGAACUGGGGUUUCAGGCAGUCCUGACUUCCCACAUGGAUGCUGGAAACUAAGAUCAGGUCCUCUGUUAGAGCAGCCAGUGCUCUUGACCAAUGGGCCACCACCAUCCUGUCAGCCCCUGCAGAAGCUAGCUUUUUUUUUUUUUUAAAGGUUUUGUUUUGCUUUGUUUUAAAUAUGGGCUCUGGGGAUCAAACUCAUGUCUACCUGCUGUGGAACAAGCACUGAACUGACUGAGCCAUCUCCCCCAUCCUGCUUUCUAUAAUGUCUUACUACACUUUACCAGUGGAUUGUGUAAGUUGUGUGUAGAGAAUGCAAUAGAGAAACUACUAAAAUAAAUAAAUAAAUAA